AACGAACGCUGGCGGCAUGCCUAACACAUGCAAGUCGAACGAGACCUUCGGGUCUAGUGGCGCACGGGUGCGUAACGCGUGGGAACCUGCCCUUAGGUUCGGAAUAACUCCCCGAAAGGGGUGCUAAUACCGGAUAAUGUCUUCGGACCAAAGAUUUAUCGCCUUUGGAUGGGCCCGCGUUGGAUUAGCUAGUUGGUAGGGUAAAACCCUACCAAGGCGACGAUCCAUAGCUGGUCUGAGAGGAUGAUCAGCCACACUGGGACUGAGACACGGCCCAGACUCCUACGGGAAGCAGCAGUGGGGAAUAUUGGACAAUGGGCGAAAGCCUGAUCCAGCAAUGCCGCGUGAGUGAUGAAGGCCUUAGGGUUGUAAAGCUCUUUUACCCGGGAUGAUAAUGACAGUACCGGGAGAAUAAGCUCCGGCUAACUCCGUG
rnacentral:rRNA from 1 species